AGAGUUUGAUCCUGGCUCAGAUUGAACGCUGGCGGCAUGCCUUACACAUGCAAGUCGAACGGCAGCACGGGAGCAAUCCUGGUGGCGAGUGGCGAACGGGUGAGUAAUAUAUCGGAACGUGCCCAGUCGUGGGGGAUAACGCAGCGAAAGCUGUGCUAAUACCGCAUACGAUCUACGGAUGAAAGCGGGGGACUCGCAAGGGCCUCGCGCGAUUGGAGCGGCCGAUAUCAGAUUAGCUAGUUGGCGGGGUAAAAGCCCACCAAGGCGACGAUCUGUAGCUGGUCUGAGAGGACGACCAGCCGCACUGGAACUGAGACACGGUCCAGACUCCUACGGGAGGCAGCAGUGGGGAAUUUUGGACAAUGGGCGCAAGCCUGAUCCAGCAAUGCCGCGUGCAGGAUGAAGGCCUUCGGGUUGUAAACUGCUUUUGUACGGAGCGAAACGGUCUGCCCUAAUACGGCAGGCUAAUGACGGUACCGUAAGAAUAAGCACCGGCUAACUACGUGCCAGCAGCCGCGGUAAUACGUAGGGUGCGAGCGUUAAUCGGAAUUACUGGGCGUAAAGCGUGCGCAGGCGGUGAUGUAAGACAGAUGUGAAAUCCCCGGGCUCAACCUGGGACCUGCAUUUGUGACUGCAUC
rnacentral:rRNA from 1 species